AAAUAUGUUUGACACAUGCGCACGAACUUACCGUUUAUAUUAACGUUAUUUCAAUCGUUAUCCAUUAAAAUAUAUACAUUUAAGCAGCUAACAUAAACUUUUAUUGUAUAUUUUCAUAAAACAACAUAUAUUUUCCCUGCACGUAGUUUUUAAACUUAUCAAAUUUGAAACGUAAUGUACAGACUCCUCGGGGAGGAAACGGGAAUAGCCAAAGAUUUUUACGGUAUUUUCGUACGCUUCAACCUAUAAAAAUACAGUAUUUGUACUAUUAGAAUCGAAAUAAUUCCUUCA
rnacentral:lncRNA from 1 species